rnacentral:tRNA from 3 species
GCCCACGUAGCUCAGGAGGCAGAGCACAUUCUUGGUAAGAAUGAGGUCCGGGGUUCGAAUCCCCGCGUGGGCUCCA